AGUGAACGCUGGCGGUAGGCCUAACACAUGCAAGUCGAAUGGCAGCACAGUAAGAGCUUGCUCUUACGGGUGGCGAGUGGCGGACGGGUGAGGAAUACAUCGGAAUCUACUUUUUCGUGGGGGAUAACGUAGGGAAACUUACGCUAAUACCGCAUACGACCUACGGGUGAAAGCAGGGGAUCUUCGGACCUUGCGCGAUUGAAUGAGCCGAUGUCGGAUUAGCUAGUUGGCGGGGUAAAGGCCCACCAAGGCGACGAUCCGUAGCUGGUCUGAGAGGAUGAUCAGCCACACUGGAACUGAGACACGGUCCAGACUCCUACGGGAGGCAGCAGUGGGGAAUAUUGGACAAUGGGCGUAAGCCUGAUCCAGCCAUACCGCGUGGGUGAAGAAGGCCUUCGGGUUGUAAAGCCCUUUUGUUGGGAAAGAAAAGCAGCAGGUUAAUACCCCGCUGUUCUGACGGUACCCAAAGAAUAAGCACCGGCUAACUUCGUG
rnacentral:rRNA from 1 species